AUUGAACGCUGGCGGCAGGCCUAACACAUGCAAGUCGAGCGGUAGCACAGAGAGCUUGCUCUCGGGUGACGAGCGGCGGACGGGUGAGUAAUGUCUGGGAAACUGCCUGAUGGAGGGGGAUAACUACUGGAAACGGUAGCUAAUACCGCAUAACGUCGCAAGACCAAAGAGGGGGACCUUCGGGCCUCUUGCCAUCAGAUGUGCCCAGAUGGGAUUAGCUAGUAGGUGGGGUAACGGCUCACCUAGGCGACGAUCCCUAGCUGGUCUGAGAGGAUGACCAGCCACACUGGAACUGAGACACGGUCCAGACUCCUACGGGAGGCAGCAGUGGGGAAUAUUGCACAAUGGGCGCAAGCCUGAUGCAGCCAUGCCGCGUGUAUGAAGAAGGCCUUCGGGUUGUAAAGUACUUUCAGCGGGGAGGAAGGUGCUGAGGUUAAUAACCUCAGCAAUUGACGUUACCCGCAGAAGAAGCACCGGCUAACUCCGUGCCAGCAGCCGCCGUAA
rnacentral:rRNA from 1 species